rnacentral:rRNA from 1 species
UACAUGGGGUGCAAACGUUGUUCGGAAUUACUGGGCGUAAAGCGCGCGUAGGCGGGCUUGUGUGUCGAUUGUGAAAGCCCUGGGCUUAACCUGGGAAUGGCAGUCGAAACUGCAAGUCUUGAAUGUCUGAGAGGAUGGCGGAAUUCCCGGUGUAGUAGUGAAAUACGUAGAUAUCGGGAAGAACACCUGAGGCGAAGGCGGCUAUCUGGCGGUACAUUGACGCUGAUGCGCGAAAGCGUGGGGAGCAAACAGG